AUUGAACGCUGGCGGCAGGCCUAACACAUGCAAGUCGAACGAGUGGCGGACGGGUGAGUAAUGUCUGGGAAACUGCCCGAUGGAGGGGGAUAACUACUGGAAACGGUAGCUAAUACCGCAUACCAUCGGAUGUGCCCAGAUGGGGUUAGCUGGUAGGUGAGGUAACGGCGCACCUAGGCGACGAUCCCUAGCUGGGCUGAGAGGAUGACCAGCCACACUGGAACUGAGACACGGUCCAGAUCCCUACGGGAGGCAGCAGUGGGGAUUAUUUCACAAUUGGCUCAAGCCUGAUGCAGCCAUGCCGCUUGUAUGAAGAAGGCCUUCGGGUUGUAAAGUACUUUCAGCGGGGAGGCGUUACCCGCACAAGAAGCACCGGCUAACUCCGUGCCAGCAGCCUCGGUAAUAC
rnacentral:rRNA from 1 species